ensembl:lncRNA LINC01471 long intergenic non-protein coding RNA 1471
AGGCGAGAUAAUGCAGAGGUGGGGGACAGAGUGGGUGGGGAGGGGAGCCGCCAUACAGUGGCCAGGACCAGCUUUGCCCAAGUGGUGGCAACCGCAUGACCACAGGAACGAUGGCGUGAGCCCCGUGGCAACCUGGAGGAAGGGCCAAGCCACUGGUGAAUAUGCUGCAAAAAAUAUGCUGGAACUUCUAUGAAUACCACAGGGUGUGAGAAGAAAACAUUAGAACUUCUAUUUUGUACCUGUGUUACUCCACAACAAGAAAGCAAUCAGCUUGAUCAAUGCCUACUGUAAAGACGGCACCGCCCUCCGGAGGUCCUUUCUCAGCCCUGGUGUUCGGACAGCCACAUCCCCUCGCAGCAGGGGGAGGCCUGAAGCAUAGAGGGGCCCAUGCAGGUCUAUUCUGUUUCAGCGAAUUGCCUGGGAAAUAAUCCAGGAUCCAUUUCGUGUGGUCAUCUUGUCUCCCUGGUCCCCUCCAGCCUUUCCUCAUCUUUUGUGACCUGGUCACUCUGGAAGGGCGCUGGCCAGUUAGUCCACAGGAUGGGCCUCCCCUGGGGCUUUUCUGAUGCUUCCUUAUGAUGGCACUGGCAUCCUGAGGGGGAGGACCACAGAGAGGAGGUGCUCCUCAUCACACCACAUGGGGGUCCAUGCACCAGUGCCACUGCUUUCCAGGGCUCUUCACCUUCAUCACUGGUGGAGGUGGCGUCUGCCAAGAAGCAGAAAGUUGAGGCUUAGAAGGUGCACGGCCCUACCUCUUCCGAGGUGCCCCUGCGGGCUGUCUACAGACCAGGCAGCACAUGCCUGAUAGCAGCUGCAUAAGGAAAAGCAGGAGCCAGCUCGUGCACAGUGGCCUCAAGUGUGCACUGGGCAUGUUCUCUGCCUCACCAUCCCUGUGUGACAGAUGAAGCUUGAGAAGCCUCUGCCUGGGUGCGCAGCCCCACAGCCCAGCCUCUGCAGAGUGGGAGGGGAGCCAGGCCCUGCUUGGGUAGCAUUGCCAUGGCAACCUCUCCCCACGCUGCUCCUCGCUGAGACCCGGGCAUCUGUGGCCAUGGCGACUGGGCCUGCCACUGGCACAUCUGCAUAGCAACCAGAGAGGGUGCCGAGCGCAGCUGGGCCCCGCUCAGGAAAACAGGUACACUCAGAGCUUUUAUCAGUCAUUAAGGAGAAGCUGGGAGCCUCUAUGGGGAGAAAGGACAAAGGAUGCAGACAAAAGACUUGGAACCGCAAGUGGCUAAUAAAUCUAUGACAAGUGCCCAACAUUACCAGCGAUCAUAGAAAUGCAAAUGCAAACAACAAUAAGAUACUUAAAGAAAAACAACAACAACUAGUGCAAUUGGCAAGAGAUGAGGCACAAAAGAGAUAGGACCCAGUGUUGGCGGGGGGUGUAGGGAAUGGGGACUCGAACACCCUGCUGGUCUGAGUGCACAUUCAUGGAACAUUUCUGAGAAGGCAAUUUGCAAUCUGUAUCAAAAGCCUUUAAAAUGCACAUACCUUUUGAACCAACAAUUCUAGUUGUAGUAAUUUAUUCCAAGGUAAUAAUUAAGUGAGUAAAGAUUCAGCUCCAAGUGUGUUCCCUGUAGGGGCAAUUAUAAUACAAAAACUUUGAAACAACCACAAUCUGAAAAAAAAAAAAAAAAGAA